rnacentral:rRNA from 1 species
UACGUAGACAGCGAGCGUUGUUCGGAGUUACUGGGCGUAAAGGGUGUGUAGGCGGUUGCUUAAGUUUGGUGUGAAAUCUCCCGGCUCAACCGGGAGGGUGCGCCGAAUACUGAGUGACUAGAGUGCGGGAGAGGAAAGUGGAAUUCCUGGUGUAGCGGUGAAAUGCGUAGAUAUCAGGAGGAACACCGGUGGUGUAGACGGCUUUCUGGACCGUAACUGACGCUGAGACACGAAAGCGUGGGUAGCAAACAGG